ACGCUGGCGGCGUGCUUAACACAUGCAAGUCGAACGAUGAAGCCUAGCUUGCUAGGUGGAUUAGUGGCGAACGGGUGAGUAAUACGUGAGUAACCUACCUUUAACUCUGGGAUAAGCCUGGGAAACUGGGUCUAAUACCGGAUACGACCAAUCUCCGCAUGGGGUGUUGGUGGAAAGCGUUAUGUAGUGGUUAUAGAUGGGCUCACGGCCUAUCAGCUUGUUGGUGAGGUAACGGCUCACCAAGGCGACGACGGGUAGCCGGCCUGAGAGGGUGACCGGCCACACUGGGUCUGAGACACGGCCCAGACUCCUACGGGAGGCAGCAGUGGGGAAUAUUGCACAAUGGGCGCAAGCCUGAUGCAGCGACGCCGCGUGAGGGAUGACGGCCUUCGGGUUGUAAACCUCUGUUAGCAGGGAAGAAGAGAGAUUGACGGUACCUGCAGAGAAAGCGCCGGCUAACUACGUGCCAGCAGCCGCGGUAAUACGUAGGGCGCGAGCGUUGUCCGGAAUUAUUGGGCGUAAAGAGCUUGUAGGCGGUUUGUCGCGUCUGCUGUGAAAGGCCGGAGCUUAACUCCGUGUAUUGCAGUGGGUACGGGCAGACUAGAGUGCAGUAGGGGAGACUGGAAUUCCUGGUGUAGCGGUGGAAUGCGCAGAUAUCAGGAGGAACACCGAUGGCGAAGGCAGGUCUCUGGGCUGUAACUGACGCUGAGAAGCGAAAGCAUGGGGAGCGAACAGGAUUAGAUACCCUGGUAGUCCAUGCCGUAAACGUUGGGCACUAGGUGUGGGGGACAUUCCACGUUUUCCGCGCCGUAGCUAACGCAUUAAGUGCCCCGCCUGGGGAGUACGGCCGCAAGGCUAAAACUCAAAGAAAUUGACGGGGGCCCGCACAAGCGGCGGAGCAUGCGGAUUA
rnacentral:rRNA from 1 species